GGCCCCCAGAAGAGGCAGACAGGGGCACCUGGGGGAACGAGGCAGCCGGGUAGGCAGGCGGCUGCCCAGUACAGCCACAGCCUAGCCCCCGCCUGGCGCCCCCUCCCCAGCUCGGAGCGCCGCCACGCGGGAACACCCCCGCCCUUCCCCCUCCUUGGGUUCGGCGCCGCUCGGCAAUUUCCGCCACGCGAGCCGAACCUAUUUCCGUCAGCCCCGGCCAGACGGGCUUUAUGUCUGCCAGCGGGCCGCGCAUGCGCGGCGGCCGCCGCCAUCUUACGUUGUCUCUCGCCUGCCCUCCCCUUUGGCGAGCUUUCCCCUCCCCCUGCAGCCCCGCGCAGCGCCCUCCUCCAGCGCUCCGUGAGGAGACGGGGCCGGGCGGGGGACAGACCCGCGGCGGCGGGGAAGCCGGGAGAGACCCGGAGGGAAGAAAGGACGAGGUGGACGCGCACGCUGAAGGUGGACGGAUCCCAAGCGCAGUUCUGCUGCGGAGGAAGAGCGGGUGCCGCCUGUUAUAAAGAGGGGAGGAGGCGGAGGGGGAAGGAAGAGCGUGCGGAGCAGAGCCUCCUCCAGAGACAGCCAGACACAGAGGGAGGAGAGAGAGGCUGCCUGGCUGGCUCCCCCGUUCUCCCUCCCGCUCUCCUUUUUAUGGACUCUCUUGUUGGGUUGCUGCUGCGUUUCUUCCCUCCUUAUUUCAUCUUUUUAAUACCCAAAAUGAUUCAGCUCCAUGGCUGCCACUGACGGGGAUGUCCCUGCCCGGCUCAGCCUGCCGCUGCCGCCCUACUGUGCGCCAGUCCUCCUGACUCAGCCGCAGACAUUAGUGCUAGGAAGAUGGCGCACCCGGCAAUGUUUCCUAGAAGGGGCAGCAGCAGUAGCAGCGGCAGCAGCUGCGUUACUGCUCCCACUGCGCCAGGUACCGGCGUUGGGAGCACUGCCCUCUCCGCCGAGGAUUAUCAGCCGCCGUUGUUGGUCCAGCCGCCGCCUGCAUCUCCUGCAGCAUCUUCCUCAGCGGGUCCACAGCCGACACCCCCUCCUCCACAAAGCCUGAACCUCCUCUCGCAGUCUCAGCUCCAGCCACAGCCUCUUGUGCAGACUGGAGCUCAAAUGAAAAAGAAAAGUGGCUUCCAGAUUACCAGUGUGACCCCUGCUCAAAUAUCAGCUAGUAUGAGCUCUAAUAACAGCAUAGCUGAGGAUACAGAAAGCUAUGAUGACCUGGAUGAGUCCCACACUGAAGACCUGUCAUCUUCAGAAAUCCUGGAUGUUUCUUUAUCCAGAGCCACUGACUUGGGAGAACCUGAGAGGAGCUCCUCUGAAGAGACUUUAAAUAACUUCCAAGAGGCAGAGACUCCUGGGGCCGUUUCUCCAAACCAGCCUCACCUUCCUCAGCAGCAUGCUCCUCUGCCUCAUCACCCACAGCAGAGUGUUGUGAUCAAUGGAAGUGUUCACCCCCAUCAUGUUCAUCACCACCAUCAUCUUCAUCACCACCAUCAUGGACACCAUCAUCCAUCACAUCCUGGGAUGGGCAGUGCCCCAAUUUCUGGAGGCCCACCACCUAGCCCAUCAUUUAGAAAGCUAUCAACAACUGGAAGCUCUGACAGUGUAAUAUCAACGGCACCAGUUUCUGCUGCAUCAUCCACUGGUUCCUCAGCAUCCGUUGUGUCUAAUAUCCGCACUACAAAUACUCCUGGCAAUUUAGGUAUAAGUCCUGCUGCUGGAACUAGUACCUUAAAUAAUAUGGGUGGUGGUAGUUCUAGUGUGGCAAGCAAUGUGCUUGGUACUAUGAAUUUAAACAACAUCACAAGUACUGGUAAUGUAAAUGCUUUGUCUGGAACUAGCAGCAAUGUUAAUGUGAAUAUCUUGAGUGGUGUUGGCAAUGGUACGAGUGCUUCCUCUAGUGUCAUUAACAAUGUUACUAAUCCAACUGCAGGAACGGCAGUAGGAUCAAGCCAGCAGCAGCCUGCAUCUGGCACAUCAAGGUUUAGGGUUGUAAAGUUAGAUUCUAGUUCUGAACCUUUCAAAAAAGGUAGAUGGACUUGCACUGAAUUCUAUGAUAAAGAAAACACUGUUGCAGUUUCAGAAGGAGUAGCAGUAAACAAAGCAGUAGAGACGAUAAAACAAAACCCGCUUGAAGUGACUUCUGAAAGGGAGAGCACCAGUGGGAGUUCUGUUAGCAGCAAUGUAAGCACACUGAGUCACUAUACAGAAAGUGUGGGAAGUGGAGAAAUGGGAGCACCUACUGUGGUACAGCAGCAAGCGUUUCAAGGUGUGGGUCCACAGCAGAUGGAUUUUAGCAGCACUGCUCCUCCAGCAAUUCCAGCAUCUAGUAUACCACAGAGUGUUUCUCAAUCACAGCUUGCACAAGUCCAGCUGCAUUCUCAAGAAGUAAACUAUCCACAGCAGAAGCCAGGGGUCCAGCCUCCUGCACAGGCCAGUCUAACCACUGUUACUGGGGUUCAGCCAUCCCCGGUUAAUAUGCUAGGUGUAUCCCCAUCUCUGGGCCACCAGCAACCUGCCAUUCAAAGUAUGGCUCAACAGCAGCUACCAUAUUCACAGCCAGCACAGCCUGUGCAGACCUUGCCAAUUGUACAACCGCAGCAGUUGCAGUAUGGACAACAGCAGCAGCAGACCGUUCCUACGCAGAUGGCUGCAGGUCAUGUUAAGCCGGUGAACCAAAACUCUGUUACGGGGGCUAUGCCAGACUACAUGCAACAUCAGCAGAUCCUUCAGACUCCAGCUCCUGCCAUGCAGCCUAGUUCUACAGGAGUAGGAGCAGGGCAACCAGUUCCUGUUGCCCAGGCACAGAGCAUACAGCCUUCAGUACAAGCACAUCCAGCUGCUGCCCCUGCUCAGCCUGUUGCACAUGCUCCAGCAGCAAUACCAGGUGUAGGUACUAGUGGUCAGAUGCUGAAUGUUGGGCAGCAGGGAAGUGUAGCUGCUGUGGUGCAGCCACCGUCCGCUGCAAACCAAAUUCCACCUCCAGUUAUGCCGUCAACGGCUGCUCCUCCAUCUUCACAAGUAGUGCAGCCUGUGCAGACAGGAAUAAUGCAGCAGGGAUUGCAGGCCAGCGCUUCAGGCCUCCCUCAGCAAAUGGUCAUUGCUCAGCAAAACACCUUGUUACCUGUACAGCCACAGGCACAAGGAGUGGAAUCUGUAGUUCAAGGGAUGACUGGCCAGCAGCUGCCUGCAGUUAGCCCUAUACCUUCUGCUAGUACUGUUCCUGCACCAAGUCAAGCUGGUUCAGCUGUCCCUCCUGGCAUACCUUCUGCUUCUAUAGGUUUGGGACAGCCACAGAACAUAACACAAGCUUCGUCUGCGCAGAAUGGGAAUUUGUCUCAAAGUGCUAGUCAGCCUCCCUUGAUAUCAGCAAGCAUAGGUAUGCCAGUGGCACAGAGUGUGCCACAGCAGAUGCCACUAAGUUCUACCCAGUUCCCUGCACAAUCACUAGCUCAGUCAAUUGUAAGCCAAAUUGAAGAUGGCAGACGCCCUACAGAACCUUCCUUAGUGGGUUUACCUCAAGCUGCCAGUGGCGACAGUGGUGUUGGAACAUCAGCUGCCUCAGAUGGUGGUAGCAGCAGCAACAUGCCAUCCUCUGCUUCACUCUUUCCGCUGAAGGUGCUGCCGUUGACGACACCUCUCGUAGAUGGUGAGGACGAGAGAUACAGAAUGACAGUCUCACACUGCACACUGGUAUGCCUGUGAAGAGGCACUGCCAAAGUUAAUUGUCUAGUGCAAAAGCUGGGAGUUCUGGCUGAUCAAAGCAGCUGCCCACAAAAGUAAAGAACCAUUGUGAGAGUUUGAAGAAAGAAUCCACUCAGAGGACUGAGUCUCAAGCAAAAGCUCCAGGUUGCAGACUCAGAAUGAAACUUCCUUUGGGGAAGGAUCUGCUUCCAGGAUUUGCUCGUCUCUUUUUCCUUGGGCAAACAGAGUUGUUGAAGCAAACAACAGGGUUGCAGGACACCUUCUAACCUUUAUACUGCAUCACAAGCCUUCAACAGAAGAUCUUGAGAGCCAUUUAUGUUGCUGGAAGAUGACUGGGUUUGGAUCUUGGCCUUCCUUAAGCAGGAUCUCCUGACAAAAUGGGAUUGGGAAAGACAUGACUCCUUUUUCCAUCACACAGAGCCAUCCUAGAAAUGGAGGCCUAGGUAGAAAAGUACUUCUAAUGCAUCAAUCCUUAGGAAAUUUGUUUGGCCUCUCAUGGUCCUUUUGUUGCUAUGUCAUAAAGAUGUCUUUUUAUAAAACCUAAACCUGGCAUCUUCCUAUCUGAAAAUCAAAUCAGUCCAAGUUUUGAGAGUUUACAGGUCUAAUAAUAUCACUGGAUUUUGCUGUCCUCUGUAUAGGAGAUGCCAUGUGAAUCUGUGAAACAGGCUUCUGCUGUGGUACAGACUGCAAUGUUUGUAAAGCCUUUUCUACUUAUAGUCCACUUGAAUAAUUAGAAGUAAUAAAACUUCUUGUGAAGAUGGUAUUUAAUUAGGCUUCCACCUCUCCAAGUUUACUUAAAAAUAAAGUUGAGCCAAAAAUGUCAAAACAGCAAUAUGAGAAAUACUGGCAUCUUUUGAGGUUUCCUGUGGGUAGUGUUGAGAAAAGGUCCUUUGAAAGUGUUGAGAGUUAUCAAAGUUGAAAAACUUAGGCUUUCAUUUAAGAGUGAAAAGUUACUUGCUAGAAAGCAGGAAGCUUCUAAUUGUUUUCCCCCUAAGGGAUUCUAUAGUCAAUUAAAUGUCUUAGGAGAUCACAAAUGAAACCCUUAUGUUUGGCAGUAGCGAAACAUACACGUUCAUGCCCAUGUACUCUUGUUUCUUUUGCUCGAGGAAAUUAGUGCUGAAGAAUAGGGCUUGCUUUCACAGUUCAGACUAGGAAAGGGGAAAGCUUUUGUUCCAAGGCCGAGUGUAAGAAGGGGUGACAGAGGGGUGAACCGAAUCCUCUGGCAACAGGUAAAGAGCGUUUGCAUUUUCCCGUUCUCUGCUUCUGGCAGUUGGGUAAACUAGUCAGAUGCUUGUGCUUGAAUCCAAUUAAUUUCUUAAAUCAGUUACCACAAAGCAUUGUUUUUUAACCAAUGCCUAGAUCUCUCCAGCGUGUUUAAUCUGAACAGUCUUAACCUAGCCCUGAGGCUACUGCUUCACGGCUCUUGUGACCUCUUACUAUGCUGGAAUGCAUUGCAAGUCUUAGUACAUCCUAAAAAUAAUUGUUCAGAUGGUGCUGCUUCAGUACAUACUUAGUGAGCCAUUUUCACUGGACUCUCUGAAACUCAGCUCUGUGGAUGGCUUUUUCAAAGCCCCCCCCCUUUUUUUUUUGCAGUGGCUAUCAAACUUUUGUCUUGCUGCUUCUGUGGUUAUCAAGUGAAACGCUAAGUUUAUAACCUCAUAUUUUUAGACAACUGGUAUCAGUCAGAUGCUGCAUGUGUUAAACUAUGCAGCCAUAGUAACACUGGUGAACUUUGAAGUUUAAAGAGAAAUGAGUUCCAUGUAUCUUAACUUUUAAUGUGUGGAAAUCUGUAUGUGACGACCUUAUAAUGGAGGUACAACUGUUAGAGGUUUGGACACUAAUUGCCUGCUGAACAGAAAUAAUCUAGAAGUUACAAGAGCAAGAUCCAUGAGCCUCAGAAAUAAAUACUAACAUCUGUGGCUAGAGAUCUGUGCCAGCAGUGCUUUUUAGCUGAAAAUAUCUUUAGUUUUCUAACUUCUAGUCCAUUUAAGGUUUGAUAUCAUUUGUGCCUUAAUAGGUAUACAUGCCUCUGCCACGGUUUUUGGUCAUUUUGUUCUGUAGUAAAAGAUCAAUUGAAGCCUCUGAAAUACUUACAAACACUAAAUAUUUACAGUAAAGUAACAGGGACACUGAGAACUGUUACUAAUGUUGUUGUCUCAGUUGUUAAAAUGACUUCACUCCCUGCCAGUCACAAUUAAGGGGGGGAAAAAAAAGGGGCAAAACCAAACCAAACCAAAAAACCACAACCACAACCAACCAAAAAACCUGUUAGUAUUUUGAUACUUGUCUAUCAGUAUUGUAUAAGCAUAUUAAUAUUAUGCUCUUGAGUUUUGCAGCUGGAAUCCUGGGUUCAUGAUAUAUUUUUAGAGCAAUAACUUCUGCCUUUGUGUUAUUAAAUAAAGAUGUCUAAAACCA